rnacentral:misc_RNA from 1 species
GAAACGCGAUAGUUAAUGUGAAUUGCAGAAUUCAGUGAAUCAUCGAGUCUUUGAACGCACAUUGCGCCCAUAGGUAUUCCUUUGGGCAUGUCUGUUUGAGCGUCAUUACAACCCUCAGCUAACCGCUGGUUUUGAACCUGAACGGGUGACACCGCGCCGGUUUUAAAGUUGUAAGCUCUGCUGGCCGCUCUGCCCAACCAGAACAUAGUAAGCACUACUUGUCCGGGUGAAGCUGAACGGUACGGCCUGAACAAAACCUGCCCACUCUCAAGGUUUGACCUCAGAUCAGACAAGGAUACCCGCUGAACUUAAGC